rnacentral:piRNA from 2 species
UCCACGUCAUCCUUAAAGCUUUGGA